rnacentral:rRNA from 1 species
UCCGAAAGACUCUCGGCAACGGAUAUCUCGGCUCCUGCAUCGAUGAAGAACGUAGCGAAAUGCGAUACUUGGUGUGAAUUGCAGAAUCCCGUGAACCAUCGAGUCUUUGAACGCAAGUUGCGCCCGAAGCCAUUAGGCUGAGGGCACGCCUGCCUGGGUGUCGCCC